AGCUGGGCUAUACCGCCCCCUCCCUACCGCCCCUUUGCGAUCCGAUCCGUUCCGCACCCUGCAGUGGAAACGCAGGGUGUGUGUGUGGCCCAGAUCUGGCAGAAUUUCGCUAGCGGGUCCAGGUGCUGCUGUAGGCCCUGUUCGGAGUGUGACAGGAGAACCAGAUCGUCUGCAAAUAGGAGGAAUUAUACCUCUGUGCUUUGAAGGUUGAGCCCAGGAGCUGCAGACUGUUCCAACAAGCCGCCCGGCCUCACCCCCCGUUUCUGUGCGAAGAACUAUGUUUGUUUGGUGCCAAUUCUUACGCUGAGUUUAUUAUUUGAGUACAUUGACUUGAUCACGUCGAACACUUUACCCACCACACCACUCUCUACAUGUUUGUAGUAUAAUCCUGUGUGCCAAAUAGAGUCAAAUGCUUUUUUAAAGUCGACAAAGCAGGAUUAUUUUUUUUUUUUCAUAUUUUGUUACAUGCUUGUUGAUUAGAGCGAUUAGGGUGUAAAUGUGGUACGGUGGCCUGGAAGAAAGCCGAUUUGGUUUCUACACAGGGUAUUGUGUUUGUUAAGGAAGGUUUGAAUUCUCCCAUUUAAAAUGCUAUUAAAAACCUUACCCAGAUUACUGUUCACACAUAUACCUCUGUAAUUAUAAGGGUCCAAUUUGUUUCCACUUUUAUUAAUUGAUUCUAGAUGUCAGGAAAACAGCCAGAAUAUAGAACAAGGUUGAACAAUUUGAGCAUUGCGUUCUGAUUUGCAGGUGUGCUAUGUUUAAGCAUCUCACUUCUGAUAAUGUCAGGCCCACAGGAUUUAUGGGACUUUAAUGAUUUAGGUUUUUCUUUCAGUUCUUCACUUGAGAUGGGGAAGUCAAGUGGA
ensembl:lncRNA